AGAGAUCAUGGCUCAGGAUGAACGCUAGCGGCAGGCCUAAUACAUGCAAGUCGAACGGGACUAAGUAGCAAUACUUAGUCUAGUGGCGCACGGGUGCGUAACGCGUAUGCAACCUACCUUUUAUUGGGGGAUAGCCCGUCGAAAGACGGAUUAAUACCGCAUAAUAUCCUUUGAUGGCAUCUGAAGAGGAUUAAAGCUACGGCGAUAGAAGAUGGGCAUGCGUGACAUUAGCUAGUUGGUUGAGGUAACGGCUCACCAAGGCUACGAUGUCUAGGGGUUCUGAGAGGAUGAUCCCCCACACUGGUACUGAGAUACGGACCAGACUCCUACGGGAGGCAGCAGUAGGGAAUAUUGGGCAAUGGACGCAAGUCUGACCCAUCCAUGCCGCGUGCAGGAUGAAGGCCUUCUGGGUUGUAAACUGCUUUUUUACGGGAAGAAAAAACUCAUGCGUGAGGAACUGACGGUACCGUAAGAAUAAGCACCGGCUAACUCCGUGCCAGCAGCCGCGGUAAUACGGAGGGUGCAAGCGUUGUCCGGAUUUAUUGGGUUUAAAGGGUGCGUAGGCGGCCUGUUAAGUCCGUGGUGAAAGCCAACAGCUCAACUGUUGAACUGCCAUGGAUACUGACAGGCUUGAGUACUGACGAGGUUGGCGGAAUUGAUGCUGAAGCGGG
rnacentral:rRNA from 1 species